CUCUAGGAUGUAGGCUGGUCUCCCAGAUCCUUCAUGGAGAAUUGUGACAACAGUCACACUUUUAUUCUCUAUAAUAUAGGAACAUCAUUUUCGAUUAAGAGAAUAUCGUCUACAUACAAAACAAAAAUAUAAUUACGGAACCAUUAGCCCACUUAUAUAUACAAGAUUCCUCUCUAUUCUUAACGAAGCCAUAUAUUCUAAUCACC
rnacentral:lncRNA from 1 species